rnacentral:lncRNA from 1 species
AAAGGGGUUAUUUGUGCAAUUAUGUGUUAUGUGUUUAUCUGCCUAUGUGGUAUGUAUAUGCGAAGGGUAGAUAUAUAUAGGUCUUAAUACUUUUCAGAGUUAGUUAAUUUGUCUGAUCCGACGGUUAAAAUACUAUUUUACUAUCGUAUAGAAUUGAAGACAUUGACCGAGGCAUUGAUCGAGAAGUGAUUGAAAUGGGUAUCCAGAAUUAGCCAAGUAGUGUUGCAAGUUGAAGUAGGGCGGAGAUUUGUUAUAGAUAAAAGCUUGUCAGAAGCUGGCAGAAAGGAAUGAUAUGGCGGUAUAUAGUAUUAUUAGAAAUCUGACCUAGACACCGGAGUUAAGGCAAGUACUUCUACCUUUCUCUCGCAAUUUAGAAGCAAGUAUUUCUACCCUACUCCUCUAGUACCUAUAGAUACUAAAACCUUCUUUAUAUCAUGAUUCAAAUUAUUUGCAAUUACUUUCUUGUGAAGCAUAUCUAGUACUUUUAAACCUUUUGGUUGAACGGAUAACACUUUUGGUAUCGACUCUACACUAUGAUAUGCAUAAAGAAAUUGUUUUAACAAAAUGUUGUUCUGGCUCUUGAAUUACAUGAUAGAACUGCAGAUUGUUUUAAAAAUUAAACUGUUAGGUUGUUUUUGCGUAAGAGGCUCGGGCACCGGCCCAGCGUGAAAGGUGGCUCCUUAAGCCCGGAUUACCGGAAUUCGUAAUAUUUGUCAACCUUGCUGAAUAAGCUUGGUUUAUGGACUAUAGCAUGACUGAUCAUCUGUUAUAGCCAGGUGUCCAAUUAUUUUUAAAGCCCAAUAAAAUUGUGAAUAGUUUAAAAAGAAGUUACCCUGCCUUCAAGAGAUAUUUGCUUAUACAUUCAUUUCUGCAGUUUUAAAUAUUUUCACUUCUUUAUUAUGGCAUUGCUGUACAACAAAUAUCAAUUUCAUUUUGUUAUUCUUGCUGAGCAUUAUUGCUCAUUCUUGCUAUUCCUUCUAACCCUUUUCAGCUAGGAAUAAAGAUGAUUCACUUAAGACUAGGCAAGGAUUGCAAGUGGUUGAGUUUCAAGCAGAUGGACAGGUAGAGUAUUUAGGACGAUGUCAUUAAGACUAGAUGCAGUUGGAGUUCUGCAAUUCAAUUCAGUUGGAAAUUAGAUUUGUUUAUUUGGUUAUCAGCUACUCUUCUUAUCGAGGUUUAGCUGAUAAUGUUGUUUAAUUUGUAAAUAAGAUUUUAUAGUUUUAGUUUCUGAUUUCAAUGCUGUAGCCUGUAUGCGAUCCUGUUUUCAGGGGGUGAAAUUGAUUUUGAAUUAAAGACCUUCUUUUAAAAAAAUAAUAUAUCCAGGUUUAGAAAUACUUGUUUUUACUUUCUUCCAAAAAUACAGGUUUUAAAUUGUUUUUCUUUUAAUGGCUCAAAACUACAGGUUUUAAAUUAUUUUUAUUUACACGUGGCACCAGAUCUAGACCCCCGGAUUUGAGGGAUGUCACAGUUGGUAUCAGAGCUACAGGUUAUAAGUUAUUGAAAUCAGAAUGUAGGUUGUAACUUGUCUAAUAAGAUAGACACGUUAAGUGAAACCUCACAUAUAGGUAAGUUCAGAUUAGUGGUGUAACCUCAUAUAGAGGUAUCGUAAGACUAUUUGGGGAUAGUCCUUUUGAGCAUAAUAAAAUGAAGCUAAACGAUUAUGUUUAAGUGAUUAUGGUUAUAGACACAACAAUUCCUAAUUCUAGUUCUUCCAGUCCCUAGUGGCCUAGUUUAUUGACCAAUUCAGAUUUAUAUCAUUGUAAGAGGGUCAAAGUUAGACCUAUCAACAGAACCUUCAAGCUAGAACCAGUAGAGAUUCUCACACAGUCUAAUGUAUCCUUUAUAGUAUCUUCCAAGUGUUGAGUAUUAUUUGAAGAGUCACCUUUUGAUUCUUGUCAGAGAUAUCUAGAAUUGGUGAAAGAAUAGAGGUGUUAACAAGUCCGAGUUUACAGCUUUGUAUAUAGUUAAGUAGUGAGCGUUAGAGCUACGUAGAGUUCGUGUUAGAUUAUUCGAUCUAGUACUUAUGUGUGAGUUAAGACGUCAACGCUCUAUGGUGAUGAUUGUAUAAAGUUGGAUAAGACUUUUGACCGACAACGAUAUCAAUGAUGGGAUCUUCAGAGGCUAUUACUAGUCAACGAUAAUAUAUGCAAGUGGUCACUAAAACGUCAAGAAGAAUCACUAGAAUCAGAACGAGUCAUCAAAAGAAUCGAUCAAGAAGACAUCUGUGAGAAUCCUGGCAAUACCUUCCUCAUUGUUGAUAUAUUGAUUUCUUUCCCCAUCAAUGAUUUGUUCUGACAUCACUUAAAAAAAAAAAUAUUUGAUAAAGAGUAUAUUUUUACCUUUCACUCGAGUUCUCGAAUGAUACUUGUGCUUACUGUCAGACCUAUAGAAUCUAUUCAAUCUUGGUAAUUUCGAACCCUUUCAUAUUCUCUACUCUAACUGAGAUGAACAACCCUACCUAUAGGGGACACAAGGACUACCUGUCUGUGUGAUAGGAGUUGGAUGGGACGCCAUCACUUGUGUGUGUUGUACAUUACAAGAAGGUUAACUACCUUUAGUAGUGUCUUAAAUUAGACACGCAACACCGAGUUCUAUAGACCAUAUUGAUCUCUCAGUUAUUCAUUUAUUUCAAUCACGUAACACUUGCUCCAAUAUGUGAAAUCUGUCAUAUCUUUUACCUUCAAGAUUCUUCUAAUCUCUAAUAGUUGGAGGUAUGCCAACCGAGUUGCCAAUAUGAAUUAAGACUUUGUAGUAAGAAGCACCAGGGAUGAAAGCGAAUGACAAUGCUGGUUAUAUCAGAAAGGAAUAUUAUGGAUUAUAGAGAUCGUACGCUCUAGUUUUCUUUUUGAUGAUUCCGAGGACGGAAUCUUUUUAAGGGGGGUAGAUUGUGACGACCCGGAUUUUCAGAAAUUAUUUUAUUAUUUUUAUUCAUGAUUAUUCGAGACAAAUGAGGAAUAAAUUUCAAUAUUUUAUUCUAGUUUGAUAAUUUUCAAAAAUAUUUGUUUAAAUUAUUUUCCUAGUCAUUGUGAUUAUGAGAAAAUAUCUGUUGAUUGUACAAUUAUAUGUUACGAGAUUUAAUUGAAUUAGUUGUCUACUAUUAUGUCUGUGUGUGCAUUUAUUUUUACUUUUAAUAUUACUGUAUUGUUUUAUUGAAAUUUAUUAUCCUCUUAAAUGGAUAUUUAUUUUUGUAAAAAUACAAAGAUAAUUUCAAAAAUUAUUUUAAUUGCUCGAUAGUGAUCAUAAAUAUGUUUAGAAGUUUUUAAAAUAUUAAAAAUCCAAUUUCUACAAGGACAUGAUUUUUAAUUAGUUUCUAAACGCAGCUAACUUCUUAAUUUUGUAUAAAUUUUGAAAAUGCUCUAUAAAUCUUGAAACUUUUAUUUUAUGAGUUUUAUAAUAUUCGGUAAUUUAUAAAAUUAGUUUGUUAAUUUUUCGAGAAAGUUUUAAUGCGAGUUAUCCCGUAAAUCAACUAAAUAGCGGGUGUUUGGAUGAUUAUUCAGCUUAAAAUAAAACGUGGCAGCCUUUGGCCAAACCACGUGCCCUGCUUUUCACCACCGCCAUCCCUUUUCUUCAUUUUAUAUACAUCAGCCUCUCAAUCUCUCUCUCUCUCUCUCUGUGAAAUCCUCCAUCUCUCCCUCUCCGCUCCUCUUUCUUUUCUCACCCAUCUUCCUCUCUUUCUUGGCAUCACCGUCCCUUCCCUGCAGCCGCCGAAUUAUGCCGCUGCCACCUCUUUCCGGCGACCACCAUAGCCCUGCACCAAUUAUAAAUCAGUGGGUAUAAAGCUUAAUUUCUCUUUGUCAAAUCAGUUCUAUAUAAACGUAUAUAUACAUGUGGUGUUGUGUUUAUAUGGUUUAAUUUGAUUUAUAUAAUCGAUUUAUGUGUGCUUGUAUGUAUAUAAACUGAUUAUAUGCUGGUUAUUGAAAUUUGAAGGUUGAUUGAAUUUUUGAGAUUGAGAUUGGUGUUAGUAAUCGUAUGAUUGAAUUGUGUGCUUAAUUGAUAUUUGAAUUGGUUGUUGGAGGUUCAUUAUAAAUGGUGCGCCAACUAGUAGUGUAAUCGGAUGACUUGGGUACUUGAUUUAUGGGAAUAUAUAACUGAGUAUUAAAGCUUUAAGGUCUGAGAUUUUGUGUAAAUGUUUUCAGAAUGGUGUUUUAAGAGUUUAAGUAUUGAGCUAAAAAAAAUUUAGAUUUACACAUAAUCGGUUGAAUUGUAAGUUGCUGCUGAUCUGUUUUGCAGUAAAAUUCUGGGCUUCUAGAGUCGAAUUAUAUGCUUAAUAUUUUUGUGGUUAUGUGCUCCUCAGAGUCUAGUUUAUGUGCGCAAAAGAAUCGAAUCAAUUCGAUUAGCGAGCUAGGAGAUAUGACCGUUUUAGUAUAGUAUGGUGCUGAAAAUUCUGGGCAGGUUUGUCCUGUUCUAGGCUCUGUUUUACUGCUUUAAACUUGAAGUUUCUUUCUGAAAAUUUUACUGUAGGUUGGAAUAAUAUUCAGGAGUGUCUCAUAAAAAUUUUGUAUUUAAAAGAUAAAUUUUCAAUUUAUUAAAAAUCAUAGACCGAGGGCUGUUUGAACUAUUUGUUCUAGUUUUUCUUUCUUUGCUAGUGCAUAGUAUGAGGUUAUACUUGGCUAAUUGCAUAUGAUUGAUUAUUACAUUGAUUGGCUCGGUUAACCUUUAUAUCUAAUUAAACGUGCUUUGCGUAUAACAAAUUAGUAAUCCUGCUAAAAGAUUUUAUUAUAUGUUCACUACAAGUCAAGACAGAUUUUCUGUUCACUGCAAGCCAAGGGAUCUUUUUUUAUAUUAAUAAUUCAUGUGUUAGCAAUGGUAUUGGUUGGUUGUUGGUAUUGCAAACAGGUGGAUAGUCCGAUAAACAGAGGAGAUGAUGCCGAAUUUUCGUUAGGAAUUAUAUGUAUUUAAUGGCUAUAAAAAGGGGUUAUUUGUGCAAUUAUGUGUUAUGUGUUUAUCUGCCUAUGUGGUAUGUAUAUGCGAAGGGUAGAUAUAUAUAGGUCUUAAUACUUUUCAGAGUUAGUUAAUUUGUCUGAUCCGACGGUUAAAAUACUAUUUUACUAUCGUAUAGAAUUGAAGACAUUGACCGAGGCAUUGAUCGAGAAGUGAUUGAAAUGGGUAUCCAGAAUUAGCCAAGUAGUGUUGCAAGUUGAAGUAGGGCGGAGAUUUGUUAUAGAUAAAAGCUUGUCAGAAGCUGGCAGAAAGGAAUGAUAUGGCGGUAUAUAGUAUUAUUAGAAAUCUGACCUAGACACCAGAGUUAAGGCAAGUACUUCUACCUUUCUCUCGCAAUUUAGAAGCAAGUAUUUCUACCCUACUCCUCUAGUACCUAUAGAUACUAAAACCUUCUUUAUAUCAUGAUUCAAAUUAUUUGCAAUUACUUUCUUGUGAAGCAUAUCUAGUACUUUUAAACCUUUUGGUUGAACGGAUAACACUUUUGGUAUCGACUCUACACUAUGAUAUGCAUAAAGAAAUUGUUUUAACAAAAUGUUGUUCUGGCUCUUGAAUUACAUGAUAGAACUGCAGAUUGUUUUAAAAAUUAAACUGUUGGGUUGUUUUUGCGUAAGAGGCUCGGGCACCGGCCCAGCGUGAAAGGUGGCUCCUUAAGCCCGGAUUACCGGAAUUCGUAAUAUUUGUCAACCUUGCUGAAUAAGCUUGGUUUAUGGACUAUAGCAUGACUGAUCAUCUGUUAUAGCCAGGUGUCCAAUUAAUUUUAAAGCCCAAUAAAAUUGUGAAUAGUUUAAAAAGAAGUUACCCUGCCUUCAAGAGAUAUUUGCUUAUACAUUCAUUUCUGCAGUUUUAAAUAUUUUCACUUCUUUAUUAUGGCAUUGCUGUACAACAAAUAUCAAUUUCAUUUUGUUAUUCUUGCUGAGCAUUAUUGCUCAUUCUUGCUAUUCCUUCUAACCCUUUUCAGCUAGGAAUAAAGAUGAUUCACUUAAGACUAGGCAAGGAUUGCAAGUGGUUGAGUUUCAAGCAGAUGGACAGGUAGAGUAUUUAGGACGAUGUCAUUAAGACUAGAUGCAGUUGGAGUUCUGCAAUUCAAUUCAGUUGGAAAUUAGAUUUGUUUAUUUGGUUAUCAGCUACUCUUCUUAUCGAGGUUUAGCUGAUAAUGUUGUUUAAUUUGUAAAUAAGAUUUUAUAGUUUUAGUUUCUGAUUUCAAUGCUGUAGCCUGUAUGCGAUCCUGUUUUCAGGGGGUGAAAUUGAUUUUGAAUUAAAGACCUUCUUUUAAAAAAAUAAUAUCCAGGUUUAGAAAUACUUGUUUUUACUUUCUUCCAAAAAUACAGGUUUUAAAUUGUUUUUCUUUUAAUGGCUCAAAACUACAGGUUUUAAAUUAUUUUUAUUUACACGUGGCACCAGAUCUAGACCCCCGGAUUUGAGGGAUGUCACAGUUGGUAUCAGAGCUACAGGUUAUAAGUUAUUGAAAUCAGAAUGUAGGUUGUAACUUGUCUAAUAAGAUAGACACGUUAAGUGAAACCUCACAUAUAGGUAAGUUCAGAUUAGUGGUGUAACCUCAUAUAGAGGUAUCGUAAGACUAUUUGGGGAUAGUCCUUUUGAGCAUAAUAAAAUGAAGCUAAACGAUUAUGUUUAAGUGAUUAUGGUUAUAGACACAACAAUUCCUAAUUCUAGUUCUUCCAGUCCCUAGUGGCCUAGUUUAUUGACCAAUUCAGAUUUAUAUCAUUGUAAGAGGGUCAAAGUUAGACCUAUCAACAGAACCUUCAAGCUAGAACCAGUAGAGAUUCUCACACAGUCUAAUGUAUCCUUUAUAGUAUCUUCCAAGUGUUGAGUAUUAUUUGAAGAGUCACCUUUUGAUUCUUGUCAGAGAUAUCUAGAAUUGGUGAAAGAAUAGAGGUGUUAACAAGUCCGAGUUUACAGCUUUGUAUAUAGUUAAGUAGUGAGCGUUAGAGCUACGUAGAGUUUGUGUUAGAUUAUUCGAUCUAGUACUUAUGUGUGAGUUAAGAUGUCAACGCUCUAUGGUGAUGAUUGUAUAAAGUUGGAUAAGACUUUUGACCGACAACGAUAUCAAUGAUGGGAUCUUCAGAGGCUAUUACUAGUCAACGAUAAUAUAUGCAAGUGGUCACUAAAACGUCAAGAAAAAUCACUAGAAUCAGAACGAGUCAUCAAAAGAAUCGAUCAAAAAGACAUCUGUGAGAAUCCUGGCAAUACCUUCCUCAUUGUUGAUAUAUUGAUUUCUUUCCCCAUCAAUGAUUUGUUCUGACAUCACUUUAAAAAAAAAAAAUAUUUGAUAAAGAGUAUAUUUUUACCUUUCACUCGAGUUCUCGAAUGAUACUUGUGCUUACUGUCACACCUAUAGAAUCUAUUCAAUCUUGGUAAUUUCGAACCCUUUCAUAUUCUUUACUCUAACUGAGAUGAACAACCCUACCUAUAGGGGACACAAGGACUACCUGUCUGUGUGAUAGGAGUUGGAUGGGACGCCAUCACUUGUGUGUGUUGUACAUUACAAGAAGGUUAACUACCUUUAGUAGUGUCUUAAAUUAGACACGCAACACCGAGUUCUAUAGACCAUAUUGAUCUCUCAGUUAUUCAUUUAUUUCAAUCACGUAACACUUGCUCCAAUAUGUGAAAUCUGUCAUAUCUUUUACCUUCAAGAUUCUUCUAAUCUCUAAUAGUUGGAGGUAUGCCAACCGAGUUGCCAAUAUGAAUUAAGACUUUGUAGUAAGAAGCACCAGGGAUGAAAGCGAAUGACAAUGCUGGUUAUAUCAGAAAGGAAUAUUAUGGAUUAUAGAGAUCGUACACUCUAGUUUUCUUUUUGAUGAUUCCGAGGACGGAAUCUUUUUAAGGGGGGUAGAUUGUGACGACCCGGAUUUUCAGAAAUUAUUUUAUUAUUUUUAUUCAUGAUUAUUCGAGACAAAUGAGGAAUAAAUUUCAAUAUUUUAUUCUAGUUUGAUAAUUUUCAAAAAUAUUUGUUUAAAUUAUUUUCCUAGUCAUUGUGAUUAUGAGAAAAUAUCUGUUGAUUGUACAAUUAUAUGUUACGAGAUUUAAUUGAAUUAGUUGUCUACUAUUAUGUCUGUGUGUGCAUUUAUUUUUACUUUUAAUAUUACUGUAUUGUUUUAUUGAAAUUUAUUAUCCUCUUAAAUGGAUAUUUAUUUUUGUAAAAAUACAAAGAUAAUUUCAAAAAUUAUUUUAAUUGCUCGAUAGUGAUCAUAAAUAUGUUUAGAAGUUUUUAAAAUAUUAAAAAUCCAAUUUCUACAAGGACAUGAUUUUUAAUUAGUUUCUAAACGCAGCUAACUUCUUAAUUUUGUAUAAAUUUUGAAAAUGCUCUAUAAAUCUUGAAACUUUUAUUUUAUGAGUUUUAUAAUAUUCGGUAAUUUAUAAAAUUAGUUUGUUAAUUUUUCGAGAAAGUUUUAAUGCGAGUUAUCCCGUAAAUCAACUAAAUAGCGGGUGUUUGGAUGAUUAUUCAGCUUAAAAUAAAACGUGGCAGCCUUUGGCCAAACCACGUGCCCUGCUUUUCACCACCGCCAUCCCUUUUCUUCAUUUUAUAUACAUCAGCCUCUCAAUCUCUCUCUCUCUCUCUCUGUGAAAUCCUCCAUCUCUCCCUCUCCGCUCCUCUUUCUUUUCUCACCCAUCUUCCUCUCUUUCUUGGCAUCACCGUCCCUUCCCUGCAGCCGCCGAAUUAUGCCGUUAUGCCGCUGCCACCUCUUUCCAGCGACCACCAUAGCCCUGCACCAAUUAUAAAUCAGUGGGUGUAAAGCUUAAUUUCUCUUUGUCAAAUCAGUUCUAUAUAAACGUAUAUAUACAUGUGGUGUUGUGUUUAUAUGGAUUAAAUUGAUUUAUAUAAUCGAUUUAUGUGUGCUUGUAUGUAUAUAAACUGAUUAUAUGCUGGUUUUUGAAAUUUGAAGGUUGAUUGAAUUUUUGAGAUUGAGAUUGGUGUUAGUAAUCGUAUGAUUGAAUUGUGUGCUUAAUUGAUAUUUGAAUUGGUUGUUGUAAGUUGAUUAUAAAUAGUGCGCCAAUUAGUAGUGUAAUCGGAUGACUUGGGUACUUGAAUUAUGGGAAUAUAUAACUGAGUAUUCAAGCUUUAAGGUCUGAGAUUUUUGUAAAUGUUUUCAAAGUGGUGUUUUAAGAGUUUAAGUAUUGGGCUAAAAAAAAAUUUUGAUUUACACAUAUUCGGUUGAAUUCUAGAUUGCUGUUGAUCUGUUUUGAAUUACAACUCUGGGAUCAUAGAGUUGAAUUAUAUGCUUAAUAUUUGUGUGGUUAUGUGCUCCUUAGAGUCUAGUUUAUGUGCGCGAAAGAACCGAAUCGAUUCGAUUAGCGAGCUAGGAGAUAUGACCGUUUUAGUAUAGUAUGGUGCUGAAAAUUCUGGGCAGGUUUGUCCUGUUCCAGGCUCUGUUUUACAGCUUUAAACUUGGAUUUUCUUUCUGAAAAUUUUACUGUAGGUUGGAAUAAUAUUUAGGAGUGUCUCAUAAAAAUUUCGUAUUAAAAAGAUAAUUUUUCAAUUUAUUAAAAAUCAUAGACCGAGGGCUGUUUGAACUAUUUGUUCUAUUUUUCUUUCUUUGCUAGUGCAUAGUAUGAGGUUAUACUUGACUAAUUGCAUAUGAUUGAUUAUUACAUUGAUUGGCUCGGUUAACCUUGUAUAUCUAAUUAAAAGUGUUUUGCGUAUAACAAGUUAGCAAUCCUGCUAAAAGAUUUUAUUAUAUGUUUACUACAAGUCAAGACAGAUUUUCUUAUGUGUUUACUGCAAGUCAAGGGAUCUUUUUAUAUUAAUAAUUCAUGUGUUAGCAAUAGUAUUGGUUGGUUGUUGGCAUUGCAAACAGGUGGAUAAGCUUAUAAACAGAGGAGAUGCUGCCGAAUUUUCGUUAGAAAUUAUAUGGAUUUAAUGCCUAUAAAAAGGGUUGUUUGUACAACUAUGUGCUAUGUGUUUAUGUGACUGUGGUAUGUAUAUGCGAAGGGUAGAUAUAUAUAUAGGUCUUAAUGCAAUUCAGGGUUAGUCAAUAUGUCUAAUCCGACGACUGAAAUACUAUUUUAUCAUCGUAUAGAAUUGAAGACAUUGACCGAGGCAUUAAUCGAGAAGUGAUUGAAAGGGGUAUUCAGAAAUAGCCAAGCAGAAUGUUACAAGUUGAAGUAGGACGGAGAUUUGUUAUAGAUAAAAGUGUGUCAGAAGCUGGCAGAAAGGAAUGAUUAUGCGGUAUAUAGUGUUACUAGGAAUCUGAGCUAAACUUUGGAGUUAAGGCAAGUACUUCUACCUUCUCUCGCAAUUUAGAAGCAAGUAUUUCUACCCUACUCCUCUAGUACCUAUAGAUACUAAAACCUUCUUUAUAUCAUGAUUCAAAUUAUUUGCAAUUACUUUCUUGUGAAGCAUAUCUAGUACUUUUAAACUUUUUGGUUGAACGGAUAACACUUUUGGUAUCAACUCUACACUAUGAUAUGCAUAAAGAAAUUGUUUUAACAAAAUGUUAUUCUGGCUCUUGAAUUACAUGAUGGAACUGCAGAUUGUUUUAAAAAUUAAACUAUUGGGUUGUUUUUGCGUAAGAGGCUCGGGCACCGGCCCAGCGUGAAAGGUGGCUCCUUAAGCCCGGAUUACCGGAAUUCGUAAUAUUUGUCAACCUUGCUGAAUAAGCUUGGUUUAUGGACUAUAGCAUGACUGAUCAUCUGUUAUAGCCAGGUGUCCAAUUAUUUUUAAAGCCCAAUAAAAUUGUGAAUAGUUUAAAAAGAAGUUACCCUGCCUUCAAGAGAUAUUUGCUUAUACAUUCAUUUCUGCAGUUUUAAAUAUUUUCACUUCUUUAUUAUGGCAUUGCUGUACAACA